UACAAAAGACAACCGACGGCAUGCUUGUCUCUCUCUCCAAUUCCAUUGGCAAGGUACAAAACUUAAAGUUCAAAAAAAAAAAAAAAAAGGUACAAAACUUUAAUUUCAAUCCAAACCCAGAAGACAUCUGAUCACUUCAUCCAUGGAGAUCAUCUCAAACCCCAUAAAGCUUCUUCCUUUAUCAAUCAUCACUAUUCUGUUCAUUAUCAUCUUCCUCUGUUUUUUUCCUGCCAUGGUUGCUAAUGAAACCUAAGAUGCCUAAGAGGAAUCCAGACCUCUCUCACCAACCCUCAGGAAGUUCUAAAAUCAUGAAACUUCGGUUCCUCUGAAACUUCGUCGUCGCGUCAUCAAUCUCGAGCUUCGAGACAUGGGUUUUAUCUGGUCGGAUCCCAGAGUCUCUUCAGUACUGUGAUAGCUUACAGAAGCUCGAUCCAUCUAGCAAUCGAUUGUCUGCUGAGUGUAUAGGCUCGUGAACUCUUUGGUUCUGUCUGAGAAUCGGUUAUUGCAGCUGGUGUGUUUGGUGUUUGGUGGUAUUACCAUACGAGAAAGAGAAGUAGUUAAAACGAAGGAGUUAGUAGCUUAGCGCAGAGACUUAGAAGCCAUAUGCGAGCACAAGUCUCUGUGUUUCAGAAGCCUUUGGUUAAGGUUAAGCUUGGGGACUCGAUGACCGCAACUAAUGGUUUCAGCUCUGAGAACAUUAUCGUUACAAAUAGAACAUGAACAAGGUAUACGGCGGUUCUUCCUGAUGGCACAGCACUUGAGUGAGUGUAAGCUUUGGGAGAAGGAGUUUCGGUAUGAGAUGAAUCAGUUGUGGGAGCUGCAUCACCUAAGUUAGCGCCACUUCUUGGUGACUGCGUUGUGGAAGAAGAGAAGCUUCUUGUUUAGUAUUUUAAGCUUUUACACGUAAUUAAAAUCUUGUAAUAUAAUUCAUGUAAUAUUAUGAGUAACAAGUUGAUUACUGUGGAAAAAAAAAAUGCAUUGAUAGAAAGACUCGCAGCAAAUCACCUGAAUAAAUCCGAACUGUUUUUUUUUUCAUCAA